AUUGAACGCUGGCGGCAUGCCUUACACAUGCAAGUCGAACGGCAGCGGACCUUCGGGUGCCGGCGAGUGGCGAACGGGUGAGUAAUAUAUCGGAACGUACCUUUCAGUGGGGGAUAACGUAGCGAAAGUUACGCUAAUACCGCAUAUUCUGUGAGCAGGAAAGCAGGGGAUCGCAAGACCUUGCGCUGAUUGAGCGGCCGAUAUCAGAUUAGCUAGUUGGUGAGGUAAAGGCUCACCAAGGCGACGAUCUGUAGCGGGUCUGAGAGGAUGAUCCGCCACACUGGAACUGAGACACGGUCCAGACUCCUACGGGAGGCAGCAGUGGGGAAUUUUGGACAAUGGGCGCAAGCCUGAUCCAGCACUGCCGCGUGAGUGAAGAAGGCC
rnacentral:rRNA from 1 species